UUCCUGACUUACCUGGGCAACAAAAG
rnacentral:piRNA from 1 species